UACGUAGGGGGCAAGCGUUGUCCGGAUUUAUUGGGCGUAAAGAGCGUGUAGGCGGCUUUACAGGUCCGUUGUGAAAACUCGAGGCUCAACCUCGAGACGCCGGUGGAAACCGUAAGGCUAGAGUCCGGAAGAGGAGAGUGGAAUUCCUGGUGUAGCGGUGAAAUGCGCAGAUAUCAGGAAGAACACCCGUGGCGAAGGCGACUCUCUGGGACGGUACUGACGCUGAGACGCGAAAGCGUGGGGAGCGAACAGG
rnacentral:rRNA from 1 species